GGUAAUCCAGUUAUUGCCAAAUGUGUCCACCUUUAUUGAAAAUUGCUCCUAAUUAAGGCCUCUGAGUUCCAGGUCAUCUGGGCCAGCCCAGGACAAGAUGAUAAAGUAGACAUCGUUUACAUCAUUACCUCAAAUGCUCAAAACACAGAGCCAAGGAAUAAGUCUUGGUGAUAACUUACUAAGUUAUUGAGGACAUCUACAUAUCACCAUUUUAUGUUAGAAAUAUGUAACAGGGUCCAAUCUGGAAGUGAUUAUGAUUCAGCACCAAUAUCAAAUGUCAUCAACAAGACUUCUCUGAGAUGUGUACUGAGAAGCAUACUGAAAUGCAGAGUUCAUAUCUAGAUGGGCACGGCUCACCCCUUACCCCUCAACCCCAGUGGACCUCUUGCUCUCCUCACUUCAUCUCAGCACAUCCUC